rnacentral:rRNA from 1 species
UACGUAGGGGGCAAGCGUUGUCCGGAUUUAUUGGGCGUAAAGAGCGUGUAGGCGGCCAGACAGGUCAGCUGUGAAAACUCGAGGCUCAACCUCGAGACGUCGGUUGAAACCGUCUGGCUAGAGUCCGGAAGAGGAGAGUGGAAUUCCCGGUGUAGCGGUGAAAUGCGCAGAUAUCGGGAGGAACACCAGUGGCGAAGGCGGCGCUCUGGGCCGGAACUGACGCUGAGGAAGCGAAAGCGUGGGUAGCAAACAGG